rnacentral:misc_RNA from 1 species
GAUGAAGAACGUAGCGAAAUGCGAUAAGUAAUGUGAAUUGCAGAAUUCAGUGAAUCAUCGAAUCUUUGAACGCACAUUGCGCCCCUUGGUAUUCCGAGGGGCAUGCCUGCUCGAGCGUCAUUAUAACCCCUCAAGCUCAGCUUGGUGUUGGGGCCUGCUGCACUGGCAGCCCUUAAAAUCAGUGGCGGCGCCAUCUGGCUCUAAGCGUAGUAAUUCUUCUCGCUAUGGAGUCCUGGUGGAUGCUUGCCAUCAACCCCCAAUUUUUCUAUGGUUGACCUCGGAUCAGGUAGGGAUACCCGCUGAACUUAAGCAUAUCAAUAAGCGGAGG